GCAAAAAUGAAAUUCGUCUCAUCAACUUCCACACCAUGAAACAUCCCUUCGUUUGCUCUUCUCAGAGGCUUUCUCUCUCUAGAUUCGCUCUCAAAUUCACACUCGCUUCUUUCAAUUUCUUCAUCAAUAGUGAAAGGAAUCGGAUGCCAUUAACGGUGACUUUUCAAUUUAUUUCUUAUAUUAAUCCAACAUUUCGAGAAACAAAUCUCAUCUUCGUGGCGCUUAAUUGCUGUUAGUGUUACUUGUUUCUCAAAUAAUCUAGAGAGAGAAAGAGAUAAAGUUUAGUUGAAAAUUCAAUUGAAAUUUAUCAGAAUGAGUUCAUCAUCAGCUCAAUACGAUCUGUCAUUUAAGAUCUUGUUGAUCGGAGAUUCUGGUGUCGGAAAAAGUAGUCUUCUCGUCAGUUUCGUUUCCAAUUCUCUCGAGGAUAUUUCCCCUACUAUUGGGGUUGACUUCAAAAUCAAGCAGCUUACAGUUGGUGGAAAGAGAUUAAAGCUUACAAUUUGGGACACUGCUGGACAAGAAAGGUUUAGGACAUUGACAAGCUCUUACUAUAGAGGUGCUCAAGGCAUCAUUCUUGUGUAUGAUGUUACAAGGAGAGAUACAUUCACAAGCUUGUUAGACAUUUGGGCUAAAGAAGUCGAGCGUUACUCCACUAAUCAAGAUUGUGUCAAGAUGCUCAUUGGAAAUAAAGUUGACAAAGAUUCAGAAAGAUUUGUAAGCAAGGAAGAAGGUGUUGCUCUUGCAAAAGAACUUGGGUGCUUAUUUUAUGAGUGUAGCGCAACAACUCUAGAAAAUGUACACAAAUGCUUCGAGGAGAUUGCAUUGAAGUGUAUGAUGUUACAAGAAGAGAUACAUUCACAAGCUUGUUAGACAUGUGGGCUAAAGAAGUCGAGCGUUACUCCACUAAUCAAGAUUGUGUCAAGAUGCUCAUUGGAAAUAAAGUUGAUAAAGAUUUAGAAAGAUUUGUAAGCAAGGAAGAAGGUGUUGCUCUUGCGAAAGAACUUGGAUGUUUAUUUUAUGAGUGUAGUGCAACAACUCUAGAAAAUGUACACAAAUGCUUCGAGGAGAUUGCAUUGAAGGUAAAAUUGAACCUUUAAUUUUUAAUAUUUGUAAUUUAAAAUCUAAAUAAGUUAUUUUUCACAUUUUUUUGUAUAAUUAAUAUACAUAACUUAUAGGGAAAUUUAGAGAAAAGUCUCAAACUUUUGGGAAAUGUUUCAAUAAAGUUUUCAAAGUUUUUUUUUAACAAAAAAGUUUUAUUAUUUUGAAAAAAUCAUAUAAUCUCUCAUUUGUUGGUCAAAUAUAAAAAAUGAUUUUUUUCGUUAAUUUGGGCAAAAUGUUAAUCGGCACUUUUCUGUUUAAAACAACUUUUAGAACUUUAUUGAAAUUUUUCCCAAAAGUUUGAAACUUUUCUGUAAAUUCCUUUAACUUAUAUUGUUUACAAAAAAUACUAAUAAUAAGAGCAAAUUUUAGAAAAACCUAUAUACUUUUUUAUUUUUUGCGAGAAAACCAUUUGUAAUUUGAUUUUUUUCCCCUUAAGCCAUUAUUACGUACAAAAAUCAGUUGGAGGGAAAUUAUUGUAAACAUUUAUAAACAGUUAAACCCAUUUAGUAUAUAAAAUUGUAAAAGUGGGUUACAUAAAAAAAAAUAUCCGUAAUUUCGAAAACAGUUUUAUAUUUAUUGUUGACUUUUCUUGACCAUUUUGUUAUGUUAUCCAAGAUAAUGGAAGUUCCUAGUCUUGUUGAAGAAGGGUCUACAAUAGUGACAAAGAAUUUACUAAAGCCCAAGUCUGAAGAUCAAACAACAACUAUGGACAGCUG